rfam:Ciona savignyi cont_24962, whole genome shotgun sequence.
GGUAGCGUGGCCGAGCGGACUAAGGCGCUGGUUUUAGGCACCAGUCAUUUCGAUGGCGUGGGUUCGAAUCCCACCGCUGUCA